GCAGAAUUUUGGGAGUAAAGGAGUUCAGUUUAGGAUACGUGGAUUUGGGGAUUUCUGGGACUUUUGAAUAUGGAGGGGGGGAGCAAAUGCAGAGAAAAUAGGAAAUUCGUGGGAGCUGAGGAGAGAUGUGGAUGGAAGCUCAGAAGACACGCGCAAUAGGUGGGUGCGACCUGGAGAAAGACCCCGGGAAGGAGACCGAGAAGUCGUCUGAUGUGAAGAAUCGGGGGCAGAAGAGACUAUUUAAUGAGAACAACUGCUGAAAGAAAUGCAUGGCGUGUUACCUGGACAAAGAUGUGAGGAGCAAAUGAGAAGGACCAGGAGGCAUAAGUGCCAUGGGUGCUUUCCAGAAAAAAAUACUGAAGGCAUAGAUUCUGUGGAAUUCACAAAGUUUCACUGAACCGCAGUGACAAAAAAGUGAAGAGCCUUUGUACUAGAGGAUUUCCUCAGAACUCACUUUACUUUGAAGAAACCUGAAGAAUUGUAUGGAAUGGGAUUGAAAACUGUUAUUAGCUCUCAAACUCAUCCAUAGAAAAGGACAAUUGCAGAAGAAUGAAAAGUGAUUAGCACUCCAUAUGUAUAUGGAAUAUAUAUAAUAAUUAAUAAUUGAUCAUGGUGGAGGAUGGAAUGCAACUUAUCUCCAGCAUAAUAGAGGCACUGCUCAUCUCUGAUAAAAAGGCACAGUCAGAUCAACACUGUUGAAUAACUUGGUUGUCUAGUCUGAUCUGCCAAAGAAAAAAGCAGGACAAAAGGAGGAAGAAAUGCCAAGAAAGGCCAUGACAUGGCAGGGAACAUGGUGCAGCCAAAGUGGGGGAAAAAGACCACUCCCCAUGAGAAGAUGCAAGGUGAUGGAAGCCUCAUUCAUUUUCCUUGGAACUACUACACUCUGAAGAUGAGGGUCUGGCUACAUAAAUGUUACUUCAGUUUGGCACAGACUGGCUGGUGCCUGUUUAUUUCCCAAGAACACAGGGAGUUUGGGGUGCAACAAUAAAUUAUGUCAACUAGGGGGAAGCUUCAUCCGUGAAACAUUUGGGGCUUCUUAUAUGCUCUGGGUCCAGUGCGCCAGGAAAAUAUGGCAACUGAAAAAGACAAAUUCAGAAGACUCCUUAACUACACACACACACACACACACACACACACACACGUCACCUUCUACAUUUAUUUAUAUUUAUUUCUCAGUUUGCAUUUUCUCCAGUAUUCCUGAUCUAUAUCUUGCAACAGGACCCAGGAGAGAAAGUGAAGGUGGUGAUUUUGCACAGUCCUCCCUCACUGAAAUUCAACUUACUCACAUGUCACAGGUCACUUUCCUAAUCAGUACUCUUCCAGAACAAAGGACAAACAAUAACAAUUUCCCUAUUACAUUUUAAUUUGGUUUGAGCUGCAUUUAGGAAUGUAUGUUUGAUACCGCUACACUUAUGGAGCAAAUAUGGAGCUUAAUUAAUAUGUAUGUGCUCUUAAAGGAAAAAAAAAGUGCAACUCUGCAUAUAAUGGUAUUAGCCCACUUAGAACCCAGGAUACCUUUGAUAGUUUUUCCCUCAACAACAAGACAGUAGAAAAAACAAGUGAUUUGUCUCUUAAACUGAUCAAGAAACAAGGCUUUCAUUUUUGCUUCCAAUCGAUAUCUUCAAUGUGAGCAAAAAUAAAAUCCUAGGAUUAAGGGCAACCAAAUGGUACAGUGAAUAGAGCAGUGGCCCUCAAGUCAGGAGGACCUGAGUUCAAAUGUGACCUCAGACUUAACUGUGUGACUCUAGGCAAAUCACUUGACCCCACUUAGCCCCAAUUGCUUCAACCAAAAAAAAAAAAGUCCUUAAGUUAAGAUUCUCUAAGCAGCAGGUAGAAGUGAUCCAGCUUACCAGCCUUUCAGGACUAGGCUCAAACAAUGCAAUAGUUUUCUCACAAUUCCCGUCAUUGAAUACUUAUAGGACAGAAACUGGACCAGACCUAUAAUUGAAUUGAAAGGGAACUGAAUUAGAUGUAGAUUUGAGUCACAAGAUGGAGUCAGUGCGAUUAGUCAACAUAUUAGACAUGUCUCAGAGCUGUCUUACUGAAUGUUCAAUCUAGUACUUGUUUUUGUUUUAUUUUUUUUUUUAAGUUGUAUCCAGAUACGUGUUUUACAAACAAUAAAUUGUACUAUAUAGUUAAAAUCUGGGAAUACAGGAAAAUUCACAAUAAAAAAAUUGCAAAUUUAAAAAAUUUUUCCAGGAUUUCACUGAGGUCAGAGAAAAGGGAGGUUGCAUGCAUUCAAGGCUUAGAACUCGAUAUAGAGAACUAUUUGGGAGUUUUUUUGGGGGGUGAGCUUAACAAUUUCCAAAUUUAAAAGUCUAAUGUUCUUGUGGAAAAGUAGCUGGAGUUAUAGUAUUUAGUCUGGCACAUUCCGUUAUACAGCAAUGGCACAAGAUGAUUUUAUCUAAUUAUCCACCAUGCCUAAC
rnacentral:lncRNA from 1 species